rnacentral:sRNA from 1 species
AGGAAGAAGAACAGACCCCUGGACUGGGGGUAGGGGAAGAACAGCUGUUCUGGCGUCUGGUGCGAUGGAAAGACCGACAAGACAAGAUCGUAUGAAUGGGAAUGGGGCCUGCUCCACCUCUGCCUGCUGUUCUCGCGCCAGAAGCACAUUGGGCCGCAUCUCGACCGAGUACAGCGAGCUGGGAGCUCAUAUUCGACCAGGAGACGAGACGCCUGUCCUGGAUGGCUAGGACUACGUGUGCUGGAGGGACUGAUCAAGACGGGCCAGAGCCGGACCCUCGUCAAGGACGUGCCCUGCAUCCCCGCAGCUACGACAGACAGCCCGAACGUACCGCUGCCGGUGUCCAGCAAGAAUAUCCGUCCCCAGGUGAAGCUCCCUAUUCAACUGUGUUCUACAACGUUGCCUCUUAGUUUCCUGGGCGAACUCGCUGAAGCCUCGCAACAUUGCCGUGCAUGCCAUGAAGCGUCUGCUCUUCUGGACAGAUGUCGGCAGUCAUCAAGCCAUCAUUCCGAGUCGCCCGAGUCGAUGGCGGAGCUGGAAGGAGUCACGGCCCUGGCCCUGUACCAACAGUCCGAUAUACCAUGCGUAUCGAAGUUAUAAACAUCAAUGGAAUGAAUAAGAGAUACACAUUGUCGGCUAGGGGGAUUUGUGUACUGGCUGGACGACAAGACCGGACUGGAGAGGAUCACUGUCAACGGAGAGCGUCGUUCCAUGCAGAUGCACCGACAUCCGGGCCGUGUGGACGUCUCCACAACUGCAUAGCCAGCGGGGUGACACGCAGUACUCACGACGUUUGCUCGUACCCCAAGCAUCUGAUGCUACUGGAGGACUAGGAGAACUGCGGCGUGUAUUCGGCCAGAUAAUUUUAGUAGUAACAUGAAAAACGACUAUAUAUCCGCCUUCUGGCGCUGUGACGAAAGGACUGCCCGGCGGAUCACUUCAGCUGACAGUCAGCCGAGGGCAGCGACAAGGCUCUGAUCUACUAUGGUACCACCUUUAACAACUGAGACAAUGUCCACAAUGAGGCCGACUGCUGCAAGCGGCCAGAAGACUUUCAGUGUCCCAUCAACAUGGUGAGUGGAAAGACACGAUAUCUGCCUAAAUUCUUAAACUAAUAAUAUCCUACCUAUAUCGGCCGCCCGGCUUUGAGAUAGCUGGCAGGACUGCGCCAAUGGUGCAGACGAUUCGUUCGGCGCAUGGCCCGGCAAGAGCCACACCGAGCCAAUGUAUCGAGCUCUAAUGGCUCCAUCGAAGAAAAUAAAUAAAGCAGGAAGAACGCAGUCAGCACUCCCCUUUAAAGACUUUGAAAAUGCAAUAGAGAACCUGCGGGAUAUUGCAUUUGAGGUUCAACGCGACCAAGCUGCGGAUGAAGAUGGAGCGAAAAGACUCU